rnacentral:lncRNA from 1 species
AAAGAAAAGAAAAGAUAAUCGAGUAAGAAGAAAAGAAGAAGAAAAUUCGGUAGAGAUGGGGGAGAGAAAAUGUAAAAAAUAUGGAGAAAAAAACUACUCUCUUUUUUUCGAAAAAGGAAAAACUUAUUAGAUUUUGGAUAUUCUGCCCCAUAAUCCUCUAAUUCACUCCUAAAAUCGCUCCCUUACUUCCCACUACACAUCCACCAC